CAUGUACUCUCUCCGUUUGGAAUUACUUGUCUCGAAAAUGGAUGUAUCUAGAACAUCGGAAUUACUUGUCUCGGAAAUGGAUGUAUCUAGAUGUUCUAGAUACAUCCAUUUCCGAGACAAGUAAUUCCGAACGGAGGGAGUAACAU
rfam:Triticum urartu cultivar G1812 contig360754, whole genome shotgun sequence.